rnacentral:rRNA from 1 species
UACGGGGGGGGGCAAGCGUUGUUCGGAAUUACUGGGCGUAAAGGGCUCGUAGGUGGCCAACUAAGUCGGACGUGAAAUCCCUCGGCUUAACCGGGGAACUGCGUCCGAUACUGGAUGGCUUGAGUUCGGGAGAGGGAUGCGGAAUUCCAGGUGUAGCGGUGAAAUGCGUAGAUAUCUGGAGGAACACCGGUGGCGAAGGCGGCGACCCGGGUAGAUACUGACGCUGAGGUGCGAAAGCGUGGGGAGCAAACAGG